rnacentral:misc_RNA from 1 species
UGGUUCUCGCAUCGAUGAAGAACGCAGCGAAAUGCGAUAAGUAAUGUGAAUUGCAGAAUUCCGUGAAUCAUCGAAUCCUUGAACGCACAUUGCGCCCACUGGUAUUCCGGAGGGCACGUCUGCCUGAACGUCAUACAGCACUCAAGCUCAGCUUGGUGAUGGGAGCCGCCCCAGCGGCUGCCCGAAUGCCAGCGGCGGUGGCCGCCGGUCCGCGACGUAGUGAACGCUUCCGCCGCCGGCCCGGCAGGCCCCCUGCCCGACGAAACACGAGCUUGACUUCAGAUCAGACGAGGCUACCCGCUGA